AUUGAACGCUGGCGGCAGGCUUAACACAUGCAAGUCGAACGAGUGGCGGACGGGUGAGUAAUGUCUGGGAAACUGCCUGAUGGCGGGGGAUAACUCCUGGAAACGGUAGCUAAUACCGCAUACCAUCAGAUGUUCCUCGAUGGGCUUAGCUUGUUGGUGGGGUAAAGGCUCACCAAGGCGACGAUCCCUAGCUGGUCUGAGAGGAUGACCAGCCACACUGGAACUGAGACACGGUCCAGACGCCUAAGGGAGGCAGCAGUGGGGAAUAUUGCACAAUGGGGGCAAGCCUGAUGCAGCCAUGCCGCGUGUAUGAAGAAGGCCUUCGGGUUGUAAAGUACUUUCAGCAGGGAGGCGGUACCCGCAGAAGAAGCACCGGCUAACUCCGUGCCAGCAGCCGCGGUAAUUC
rnacentral:rRNA from 1 species